rnacentral:lncRNA from 1 species
GCACAGUUCCCGCUCAGCCCAGUCAAAACUGUUCGCUGCUCUGGCACCCCAAUGGUGGAACAAGCUCCCUCACGACGCCAGGACAGCGGAGUCAAUCACCACUUUCCGUAGACACCUGAAACCCCACCUCUUUAAGGAAUACCUGGGAUAGGAUAUAGUAAUCCUUACCGGAAUCUUCAGUAAUUUAGCCAGUCAGUUGUGUUGUGACAAGGUAGGGGUGGUAUACAGAAGAUAGCCCUAUUUGGUAAAAGACCAUAAAUCCAUAUUAUGGCAAGAACAGCUCAAAUAAGAAAAGAGGAAUGACCAUCCAUCAUUACUUUAAGACAUGAAAGUCAGUCAAUGAGGAAAAUUUCAAGAACUUUGAAAGUUUCUUCAAGUGAAGUAGCAAAAACCAUCAAGUGCUAUGUUAAGCUGGCUCUCAUGAGGACCACCACUGGAAAGGGAGACCCAAAGUUACCUCUGCUGCAGAGGAUAAGUUCAUUAGAGUUAACUACACCUCAGAUUGCAGCUCAAAUAAUGCUUCACAGAGUUCAAGUAACAGACACAUUUCAACAUCAACUGUUCAGAGGAGACUGCAUGAAUCAGGCCUUCAUGGUCAAAUUGCUGCAUAGUAACCACUACUAAAGGACACCAAGAAGAAGAAGAGACUUGCUUGGGCCAAGAAACAUGAGCAAUGGACAUUAGACCGGUGGAAAUCUGUCCUUUGGUCUGAUGAGUAGGUAAAUGGACGAUCUCCGCAUGUAUGGUUCCCACCGUGAAGCAUGGAGGAGGAGGUGCGAUGGGCUGGGGGUGCUUUGCUGAUGACACUGUCAGUGAUUUAUUUAGAAUUUAAGGCACACUUAACCAGCAUGGCUACCACAGAAUUCUGCAGCAAUAUGCCAUCCCAUCUGGUUUGCGCUUACUGGGACUAUCAUUUGUUUUCAACAGGACAAUGACCCAACACACCUCCAGGCUGUGUAAGGGCUAUCUGACCAAGAAGGAGAGUGAUGGAGUGCUGCAUCAGAUGACCACAAUCACCCGACGUGAACCCAACUGAGAUGGUUUGGGAUGAGUUGGACCACAGAGUGAAGGAAAAUCAUCCAACAAGUGCUCAGCAUGUGUGGGAUCUCCUUCAAGACUGCAUUAUAGGUGAAUCUGGUUGAGAGAAUACCAAGUGUGUGCAAAGCUAUCAUCAAGGCAAAGGGUGGCUACUUUUUGAAGAAUCUAAAAUAUAUUUUGAUUUGUUUAACCCUUUAUUGGUUACUACAUGAUUCUGUAUGUGUUAUUUCAUAGAUUUGAUGUCUUCACUAUUAUUCUACAAUGUAGAAAAUAGUCAAAACAUUUAAUAAAAACCUUGGAAUGAGUAGGUGUGUCCAAACCUUUGACUGGUACUAUAUAUAUAU